ensembl:snRNA U6 U6 spliceosomal RNA
GUGCUCGCUUUGGCAGCACAUAUAUUAAAAUUGGAAAGAUAAGAGAAGAUUAGCAUGGCCCCUGCACAAGGAUGACACACAAAUUCAUGAAGUAUUCCAUAUUAAA